AACGAACGCUGGCGGCAGGCCUAACACAUGCAAGUCGAGCGCCCCGCAAGGGGAGCGGCGGACGGGUGAGUAACGCGUGGGAAUAUGCCCUUUGCUACGGAAUAGUCUCGGGAAGCUGGGGGUAAUACCGUAUACGCCCUUUGGGGGAAAGAUUUAUCGGCGAAGGAUUAGCCCGCGUUGGAUUAGGUAGUUGGUGGGGUAAUGGCCUACCAAGCCGACGAUCCAUAGCUGGUUUGAGAGGAUGAUCAGCCACACUGGGACUGAGACACGGCCCAGACUCCUACGGGAGGCAGCAGUGGGGAAUCUUAGACAAUGGGGGCAACCCUGAUCUAGCCAUGCCGCGUGAGUGAUGAAGGCCUUAGGGUUGUAAAGCUCUUUCAGCUGGGAAGAUAAUGACGGUACCAGCAGAAGAAGCCCCGGCUAACUCCGUG
rnacentral:rRNA from 1 species